rnacentral:rRNA from 1 species
GACGAACCGAGCGAACGUUGUUCGGAAUCACUGGGCUUAAAGGGCGCGUAGGCGGGCUGCCGCGUCCGGGGUGAAAUCCCACGGCUCAACCGUGGAACGGCCCCGGGUACGGGCGGCCUCGAGGGGGGUAGGGGCGUGCGGAACUGUGGGUGGAGCGGUGAAAUGCGUUGAUAUCCACAGGAACUCCGGUGGCGAAGGCGGCACGCUGGACCCCUUCUGACGCUGAGGCGCGAGAGCCAGGGGAGCGAACGGG